UACGGAGGAUGCGAGCGUUAUCCGGAUUUAUUGGGUUUAAAGGGUGCGUAGGCGGGAUGCCAAGUCAGCGGUAAAAAUGCGGUGCUCAACGCCGUCGAGCCGUUGAAACUGGCGUUCUUGAGUGGGCGAGAAGUAUGCGGAAUGCGUGGUGUAGCGGUGAAAUGCAUAGAUAUCACGCAGAACUCCGAUUGCGAAGGCAGCUUACUAAGCCAUAACUGACACUGAAGCACGAAAGCGUGGGGAUCAAACAGG
rnacentral:rRNA from 1 species